AGUAUUCCAAAAAGCUAUUACAUCAAAUGAGUGGCUUUGUGGGCAUACUUCCAACAGUGGAGACAAUUUGCCAAUUCAUCCUCAGUUAGGGACAAGGAUGCUAGAACUCAUGCCUAUUUCAUUCAAAGCAUGUUAUUGAUUUGCAUAACACAUAUUCAAGAUGAAGUUGUGUAGUGACCACCAAAGCUAAAUUUCCGUGCCCUUAUUUCUUUAUGUGUUUAAGUUUAACCCCGUUGAGCCUUGUUAAGCCUAUGUUCUUUGUUAAUCCACACUAUCCUUACCUGGCCUAGUUUUAGGACCAUCCAUACCCUUGUUCUUAAAGCAUAGUAAAACAUGACUUAAAAUGAACUCUUUUUUUUUUUAUCAAUGUAUUGCAGAAAGCAAGUGUGGGGGAAGUGAUUCUUGUGUGUGUGUGUGUGCCAAAGUCCUUAAUAAGGCACGGGUAGAAAAAAAAAAAAGAGUGAAAAGAAAAAAAAAAGUUUGUUAAAAAAAAAAGGGUCCAAAACAUUGAAUUCAGCCCUAAGUGUUGCAUGAAUCUUCCCUUUGUAUUUAAAAGUUGAUUUCUGCAUUCUAAAGUGAAUUCUAAGUUUCAAUUUCAUUACUUUGCUCGCUAUUGCUUUAAGAAGGUUUGUUAUCCCUAUCCUUUCUUUGUUAGCCAUUACCUUUAUCCCCGUUACAACCUUUGACUUCUAUCUUGAGUGUUAUGUGUUUCAAUUUGUGGAGUUUGAAGUUGGUAUGAGCAUAUGGUGUCACUGGUUCUCGCAUCUAAGUAGUAGCAUUCCAUUCAUGAGAUCAUUACUAAACAUGCUUAAUAACUCCAGAAAAUUGCUUUCUUUGUUAUAACACAUGUGAGUCCUAGUCUUUCGUGUUUACAUUAAUCUUCUCACAUAUACUAGUGUAGGGUGUGUAGUC
rnacentral:lncRNA from 1 species